UGAAUUGCUGUAAAAAUUACAGCAAUAUUUUACAGCCGCUGGCUGUAUUUUGAUAAUACAGCAUAUUGCUGUAAACUGCAAUGCAUUCCGGGGGCGUGGCGGUUUAAAUCAAAUUUACAGAAUAUUGCUGUAAAUUUCAAAUAUACAGAGGCAUUGUGGGAUCUUCAACGGUCGAGAUUCGUGUAGCAGCAAGAGGAUUGACUUACAACUGUGGUAUUUAUCCGGAGAGAGGAACAAAGACGAAAGGAAAAGUGCCAUCUAACAAGCCAGACAGUUCAGAAGAAACGGGUUGCGGUCAACCUACAUGUUGCCACUCUUCAGUGCAAAGUGAUAGAUUUUCAGUGGAAUUUCUGAAAUCCUCUCUUUGAAUCCUGGGAUGGAACAUCAUCUGGAGCAUUUUUGAUCACAAGUUUGUUGGACUUGUUGUUUGGCCAUGUUGGUCUGUUCAUAAAGUGAUGAAAGUGAUCUGGUUUUUAAGAAAUGUUUUUAUAUGACCAUGUUGCUCAAGUUAUAGUUAUAACGCAGUUUGCAUAUUUCUUUGUGUGAAGGGCCAUGAUGGCCAAUAAGUAAUUUAAAAAUGUUUUCAUGACAAUUUUAUGUCCAUUUAAAAAAUAAAAUGAUUUUCUAAAUAAAAAAUAAAUUCGAAAUACACUUUUUAUGGCAUUUUUCAUGUAAAUUUGAAAGUUACAUAUUA